rnacentral:lncRNA from 1 species
GAAGCCUCCCCACAACUCAGAAUCAGCUCCAGAGAAAAAGGACCAUGUUUUUCUUCACCCUAGGCUAGGGUCCACCACUGGAGUGCUCGUGUCCUGCUCCUGGAUUGGCUCCUCCUUAGGAUGGCUGAGAGUUGAAGCAUCUCUUCCCUUCAGGGCAAGUAUUACCCUACCCACAGAGAUGAGGGACAGCCCCCAAAGCCCAACAAGACAAUUCCAUUGGGGUCUGACGUAGAGGUUGUCUGGAAGUACAGUCAUAAUUGCAUAUGGCCCCCAUCAGCCACACCAUGCUCCAUUGAGCUCCAAUUCAGCCAGCUCCUCCUCACCAAGGUUUCCAAAAGUCUUGGGUCCAGCCUCACCCAGGGUUGCCCUGAGCUGAAAGAGCUCGGGAUUCCAAGAGGCCCGAGUACUGUUCUAGGAUUCAGAGUUCCCUGUUCUAUCCAGGACUGUUUCAGCUAUAUGACAGUUUAGGAAGAAUUUGAGCAUCCCUCUGGGAACCUCACUCUAUUUAUAACACUGUUUCCAUGGAAAAAUGCGUUCCAAGUGACAAUCGAUUUAAAACAGAAUGCUUAGAACACAGCCUUUUUGUUGCUGGAGGACUGCUGGUAAUUGUUUCUUCACACGUAGAGAUUAAGUUGAAGUCUUUUAAAAAUGCAUCUAGUAUAAAGAACGGGAACAAGGAAAAAGCAGGUGGUGUUUCUUGCAUUUUUGGGAUAAGAUAAAUGUGGAACCCAUGCCUGCUCAAGCCUGUUGUGGGGUCAUGGUGCGCCCUCUGGUGGUCCACCUUUUUCAAUGGCUGCACCUGCCCAGAUGAGCAAACUAAGGGACUAACUCCUGGUGAGUACUUCUCUCUUGAAUUAAGAAGGAGGAUCUACAAUUUGGGGGCAGCUUUCUAUUGUCAGGG